rnacentral:rRNA from 1 species
UACGGAGGGUGCGAGCGUUGUCCGGAAUCACUGGGCGUAAAGGGCGCGUAGGCGGCAAUUCAAGUCAGCUGUGAAAUCUCUGGGCUUAACCCAGAACGGCCAGCUGAUACUGCUUUGCUAGAGUGCAGAAGGGGCAAUCGGAAUUCUUGGUGUAGCGGUGAAAUGCGUAGAUAUCAAGAGGAACACCUGAGGUGAAGACGGGUUGCUGGGCUGACACUGACGCUGAGGCGCGAAAGCGUGGGGAGCAAACAGG